UUUUGCUUUGUCACCAUAGCAACAGGAACCGGGGAGACGCGAUCGUUCGGGAUUUCGCCCAAAGAUCAUCUGACGUAUAACUAGUGAUAUCAACGUUUUUCUUGUCGAUACCGCGGGCUCGCGCGCACACAGGUUCGGCUGACAUGCCCCUGCACGUGACGGACUACACGUGGACCCAGACGGAGUCCACGGUCCACAUCAGCGUGCCUUUAAAGGGCGCGAAGGCCGGUGGUGUGGACAUCGUGUCAACAGAGGAGUACCUGAAGGUCCACUUCCCUCCAUUCCUGUUCGAGGCCUUCCUCUUUGAACCUGUUGAUGAUGACCGAAGCACGGCGAAGGUCGGAAACGGAGUCGCCGUUUUCACUUUACCAAAAAAGACUCGCAACGUUUGGGAGCAUCUGAUGAUCACCGCCGAUGAUAAAGAAACAAAGAGGGAGAUCAGGGAGAGAGCUCUGUUGAAACGGCAGCAGAAACUUUCUGCAGAGUCGAAACAAAAAGCUGAGAAACAGCAGGCGGAGAAGAAAUAUGCCCUGGUGACCAUGAUGAAGCUGGAGGAGGAGGAAAGGGACAGAAUCCAGAAGAUGAAGGACGCAGAGCGAGAGAAAACGACGGCGGAGCUGGCAGCGUGGCGGCUGAGGCAGAAACAGGAAGCCCAGCAGAAACAGAACCACCAGAUCCAACAGGGAGGAGCCACAAAAACACCCGGAAACAGACAAAUGGAGAUCGGGAAGAACAAGCAGGGUCACCGUAACUCCAAGAAGGAGAAGAUCCAAACCCGGCUGCCUCCUCCGAGACCCCCCGGAAACAUCCGAGUCACGUUCACCCCCCGAGUUUUCCCAACAGCUCUGCGGGAGUCCCGAGUUUCCGAGGAGGAAGAGUGGCUGAGGAGACAAGCUGCAGCGAGGCGAGCAGUGAGCACGGAGGUGGAGGAGCUCCAGGACCUGACGGAGGAGGAGAGGAACCCUGACUGGCUGAAGCAGAAAGGCGACAAGUGUUUCGCAAACGGAGACUACGUCGGAGCGGUGAACGCCUACAGUCUGGGGAUCAGACUCAACAGGCAGAUUCCUGCUCUGUACUCAAACAGAGCUGCCUGUCAGCUGAAGUUAAGGAAUCUGCACAAAGCCAUCGAGGACUCCUCCAAGGCGCUGGACCUGUUGACCCCAGCCGUGCCCGCCAACGCUGCCGCCAGAGUCCGAGCCAGCGUCCGGCGAGGAUCCGCGUUCUGCCAGCUGCAGCUCUACGCUGAAGGACUGCAGGACUACGAGGCUGCUCUGCAGAUCGACCCUCACAACGAGGCGCUGCGGGAAGAUGCCCGGAUAAUCCGAAACAUCAUCCAGGGUUCUUCAGGAGACGAUGAGACGUAAAGAGCAAAAGUCAAACUCACCUGAAACAGGGAGACCAAGAGAAUAUACGUUAAUUAAUGUUUUCUUUAUUCAGGACUUUAAAGCAAAAAUGUUCAUUAACAACCAGCAGAUGACCUGCUUUGGGAUGAAAGAUGUUUUUUGAAUAAUUCAAUUCUAGCCAUAACUUGCAUUAAACAGAAAUCCCUUCCA